CCUACGGGAGGCAGCAGUGGGGAAUAUUGCACAAUGGGGGAAAGCCUGACGCAGCGACGCCGCGUGAGUGAAGAAGUAUUUCGGAAUGUAAAGCUCUAUCAGCAGGGAAGAAAAUGACGGUACCUAACUAAAAGACCCCGGCUAACAACGUGCCAGCAGCCGCGGGCAAACGUAGGGGGCAAGCGUUCUCCGGAUUUACUGGGUGUAAAGGGAGCGUAGGCGGUUGAGCAAGUCUGAUGUGAAAGCCAUCGGCUCAACCGCGGGACUGCGUUGGAGACUGCCCGGCUAGAGGGCAGGAGAGGUGAGCGGAAUUCCAGGUGUAGCGGUGAAAUGCGUAGAUAUAAGGAGGAACACCAGUGGCGAAGGCGGCUUACUGGACAGUAACUGACGUUGAGGCUCGAAAGCGUGGGGAGCAAACAGGAUUAGAUACCCCAGUAGUC
rnacentral:rRNA from 1 species